CAGAGUCAGAGUGGAAUGAACUCAGAGCGGUGAAGACACAGACCAAGCAAAACCAUGGAUGUUGUAAAUGCUGUGAAAAUGAUCGUACUGGUUUGGACUUUCGCAUCUGUCUGUGAGGCCAGUGAUGAUUCAUGUACCUUCAGUUCAAGCUGUGCUGAUGUGACUGGUACUGUGCAUGAAGAACUAACUCUCACUUGCAGCAUCUCACUGAACUGCACUAAAGAAGCUGAUAAAUGCUGCAUUAUAUCGUACAUGUUUAAGGAUGAAAACACCAAACCAAA